rnacentral:rRNA from 1 species
UGAGGAAUUUUGGACAAUGGGGGAAACCCUGAUCCAGCGACGCCGCGUGGAGGACGAAGGUCUUCGGAUUGUAAACUCCUUUUGCCCGGGAAUAAUAAAUCUGUAGAAAUACAGAGAUUGAAUGUACCGGAUGAAUAAGCCACGGCUAACUUCGUGCCAGCAGCCGCGGUAAUACGAAGGUGGCAAGCGUUACUCGGAAUUACUAGGCGUAAAGCGCAGGUAGGUGGUUGUGUAAGUCUGCUGUGAAAGCUCCCGGCUUAACUGGGAGAUGUCAGCGGAUACUGCAUAGCUAGAGUGUGGGAGAGGGUACUGGAAUUCCAGGAGUAGCGGUGAAAUGCGCAGAGAUCGGGAGGAACACCAAAGGCGAAAGCAGGUACCUGGACCAUUACUGACACUAAGCUGCGAAAGCUAGGGGAGCAAACA